rnacentral:rRNA from 1 species
CCUACGGGAGGCAGCAGUAGGGAAUAUUGCUCAAUGGGCGAAAGCCUGACGCAGCAACGCCGCGUGAAGGAUGACGGUUUUCGGAUUGUAAACUUCUUUUGUUAGAGACGAAAAUGACGGUAUCUAAUGAAUAAUCACCGGCUAACUCCGUGCCAGCAGCCGCGGUAAUACGGAGGGUGCAAGCGGUACUCGGAAUUACUGGGGGUAAAGAGCGCGUAGGCGGGAUAGCAAGUCAGAUGGGAAAUCCUAUGGCUUAACCAGAGAACUGCAUUUGAAACUGUUAUUCUUGAGUAUGGGAGAGGUAGGUGGAAUUCUGGGUGUAGGGGUGAAAUGCGUAGAGAUCAAGAGGAACACUCAUGGCGAAGGCGACCUGCUAGAACAUAACUGACGCUGAGGCGCGAAAGCGUGGGGAGCAAACAGGAUUAGAUACCCCGGUAGUC